AUUGAACGCUGGCGGCAGGCCUAACACAUGCAAGUCGAGCGGUAGCACAGAGAGCUUGCUCUCGGGUGACGAGCGGCGGACGGGUGAGUAAUGUCUGGGAAACUGCCUGCUGGAGGGGGAUAACUACUGGAAACGGUAGCUAAUACCGCAUCACGUCGCAAGACCAAAGUGGGGGACCUUCGGGCCUCAUGCCAUCAGAUGUGCCCAGAUGGGAUUAGCUGGUAGGUGGGGUAACGGCUCACCUGGGCGACGAUCCCUAACUGGUCUGAGAGGAUGACCAGCCACACUGGAACUGAGACACGGUCCAGACUCCUACGGGAGGCAGCAGUGGGGAAUAUUGCACAAUGGGCGCAAGCCUGAUGCAGCCAUGCCGCGUGUGUGAAGAAGGCCUUCGGGUUGUAAAGCACUUUCAGCGGGGAGGAAGGCAUUAAGGUUAAUAACCUUAGUGAUUGACGUUACCCGCAGAAGAAGCACCGGCUAACUCCGUGCCAGCCGCCGCCGUAA
rnacentral:rRNA from 1 species